rnacentral:rRNA from 1 species
UGCGGAGGGAUCAUUACACAAAUUAAAAUAUGAAGGCUUCGGCUGGAUUAUUUUUAUCACCCUUGUCUUUUGCGCACUUGUUGUUUCCUGGGCGGGUUCGCCCGCCACCAGGACCACACCAUAAACCUUUUUUAUGCAGUUGCAAUCAGCGUCAGUAUAACAAAUGUAAAUCAUUUACAACUUUCAACAACGGAUCUCUUGGUUCUGGCAUCGAUGAAGAACGCAGCGAAAUGCGAUACGUAGUGUGAAUUGCAGAAUUCAGUGAAUCAUCGAAUCUUUGAACGCACAUUGCGCCCUUUGGUAUUCCAAAGGGCAUGCCUGUUCGAGCGUCAUUUGUACCCUCAAGCUUUGCUUGGUGUUGGGCGUCUUUUGUCUUUGGCCUCGCCCAAAGACUCGCCUUAAAACGAUUGGCAGCCGGCCUACUGGUUUCGCAGCGCAGCACAUUUUUGCGCUUGCAAUCAGCAAAAAGGACGGCAAUCCAUCAAGACUACAUUUUUACGUUUGACCUCGGAUCGGGUAGGGAUACCCGCUGAACUUAAGCAUAU